rnacentral:tRNA from 1 species
GUCUAAAUAGCUCAGUGGUUAGAGCAAAAGAUUGAAAAUCUUUGGGUCAGCGGUUCAAAUCCACUUUUAGACA